UUGGCCACCAUACAAUCAAAUUAGAGCUGUACGUGAAAAAGCAACCAAAUUGAAACAUAUUUUUUUUUGGACAAAAAAACAACUGAAUGUGGCAGUGUACUGCCACUUUACAAACCAAAAAAUAAGUAAACAAAUGACCCGCAAAAUUUUCAAUACCAACGUAAUAACUAUGCAUGUAUUGUCCCUUUACAAAUCAGAAAAUCAGUACUCAUGUAAGUAGCCACAAAAUCUUCAAUACCGACAUUAUCACCUUCCUCUGUGAAAAAAAAAAAAACAGUGAUUCAAAAUGAGUAGGGAUUCUUGGAAGUGUUAGAUAAUUCAACUCAAAAAGACAUGAAUAAUUAAAAAGAAAUAGAAAAUUUAAAUUAUAAUGUAAAAAACUAUUAUAUAAUUAGAGUAUAUAACGUUUAACUAAUUUAAUAAAAGUUCGAGAUACAUAACAUUCAUCGAAGUCUUUUAUAUACUUUACAUAAUCACUUCAAUAUAAAAUUAAGAAUCUUGAUUUUUGAGUUUUCAAAUGACAAAUUUGACUAAUAAAAUUAAAACCACAAUAUGAUUCAAACACAAAAAUGAGUCUAACUCCUAUAAAAUAGAGGAACAUCUAGAAUAAAAAAUGCUAAACUACCAUCGGUAGAAUCACAAAGAUAAUUGCUUACCUAUCGUAUAGCAAAAACAUGUAGAAAAUGAAGAAAAAAAAAUACCUAUCAUAAAAUAGAAAUGUAUAAGAAUAAAAAAAAUUUAACUAUCCGAUGCUUUUAUGAAUUGAAGCUACAAUCUCAAUUAGACGAAUUAUGAAUAAAAUUUUGUUAGUAGUAAUAAGGUUUUCAAAACUUUGCUAAUAGAGAAAAUCCUUGAAAAAUACUAUAAACCCAUCGGUAAAAUGAAAUAAAGAAUUAACCUCUUCAUAUACGUAGGCAUCACCAUGUCGGCAAAAUGAUAUAUAUAUUUUUAAUAUGUGAUGACAAAGAGAUCUCCUAAUUAAUGCACAAGAUUGGUUAUAGUAGACACACAUGGUUCAAGGCACAUCCACUUUUUUCACAUCUGAAGAUUGCAUCUCUAAAAUCCCUUGUUGCAUAUCUCAUAUACAAAUCUAUAAUUUGUUGGUGAUAAAGCAAUAACUUUGGCAUUAGGAUUUGAGGUUCCAAAGAGGCUUCUU
rnacentral:lncRNA from 1 species